AACUCUGUGGCGCAAUGGGAGCGUGUUUGACUGCAGAUUAGAAGGUUGUGUCUUCAAAUCAUGUCUAAGUAA